CGCCCCGUCUACGGCGGCCGCGCGGGGUCAGUAUCACCAUGGCAACCGCGCGGCGCCCGGAACCGGAGCCGGGCCCGCUGCACCGAGCCCCGGGCCCGAACGCGCCGUGCACGGAGCAGAGCGAGAGCAGUGUCUGAGAGCUAUCUCCGGGAAGCGGCGGGGACAGCCAGCGCUGCCCUGAGGCACACACGGAGCGCCGCAGCGGGCCGGCACACAGGAACGCUCCCGCGCUCGUCCUCCAAGCACGGGUGUCGGUCCCGAGGCAGCUCCCGGUAAAGGUGGCUCCUGGUACCAGGUACAAACACCGAAGAGACUCUGCUGCCCAGCCUCCGUUCUGCAGGGACACACAGCUGAAACGACCUGGAGACGUGCACAGAACGAGCCUGGCAGCCUGUGUUUGCACUAAUUGGGAUGAUAACACCAUUUUAGUAUCUUGUACCUGCUCUAUAAAGAUUGGCAUUAAAUGUAUCCUUACCACAGAAACAGCAGAAAGGAUGGAAAUACGUUUGCUCUGCUGAAGUAAUUACACAUUAUCCUCCAAAGAACUUCACAGAAUCUUAUUUGUUUUACCAGCAGGCUCAUCCAGGAAUUAGCAUCGAGCCCAGCAGGGAAACACUGCAGUAGCCCAAUGCACAUCUGACAGGCUGGAGCCAACCCGACCCACGAGACACCCUUUGCCUGCACCUUCCCACGGCUCAGUCCGUGCAAAGGCCCUGCAGUGUUACAGCAGAGUUUUCUAAAGCUUAGCACCACAAUCCACCUGAGCUCCACUCCUGGGCUGACUUAAAAAUGUAGGGCAGGUGCUGCUCUCCAUGAGGCUCUGGCAAGAGGAACUCACUCAGGCAUUCCAAGUGUAUCCAGGGAGCUGCUGUAAGGCUGGGGGCUGUGUCAGCUGCAGUGAGUCAAUAACGAGCACACACAGGACUCUACAGGAAGGCUGGACACAACAGGUCAGUUUUUUAUUAACCAAAAGUGAAGCUGAACCCCAGAGUGGUUUAACUUGUUAAAACCAUAUGUUUAUAUGGCAGAUAUUUUCCUUUCAUGUUCAACACUACAGUGCAAGAACCAAACUUCUCAGCUGUUCAUCCUUUGAGAAUCAAGUAGUAAAAUGAAUUAAAAUAAGGGUCCCUCAAUGAAUCAGUUAAAAAAAAGCCAUUUAACUCAAAAGAACAGACCAAUUUUAAGAACUAUCUUAUUAAGUCUCCCAAGUGAAAGACCUUUAAAAGCACUUGGAGCCUUGAGGUAGCAACUUUAUGCAGAAUUUAAUUCCCCUCCUGCCCCACAGAGGAAAAUUAGUAGCGCAUUAUUAGCUCCAGCCAGCUAAGCUGUGUUGAGUGGCUCCUGUGAGGUGACUUUCUCUUGCCUCUUGAAAUAGCAGUGUAGUGCUGCAGAGCACCAGGAGGAAAUCCACAGGGAAGGCCUCUUGAAAUAAAAUUUAUGGUUUGAAAAAAGUUAAAAUGAUCAGUAACAAUUGUAACAACAAAAAUUAUCUGAAGUGAAAAAACCCAACGUGUAUUUUGGCAAGACUAGUUUACAAAUACAAGUCAAGAACAAGAGUCUGCUUUCAGCAAAAGAAAGAAUGGAAGUGACAUUCAAAGGGGUUUCAGGGUUUUUUCCCCUCUGUGCAAAAUUGCACUUUGUUAUCUAAGUUUUUAUUUUAAGUUUUGCACUUUUGUUUCUAAGAAAGGAGCACUUCCACACCUUUUUGUUCUUUUACAUUGUUAAACCUGUGCUGUGACAUUAGACAGAAAUAUUAAGUGCCAGGAUAUUUAACCACUCAAAGCUCCUCUCACUGACUUCACAACAAUCACAAGCAAGGAAUCACAAACAGGACAUGUCUUCCUCUAAGCCUCGAAAACAUGAUCCUCUGUGCCCACUUUGCUGCUGAGUUGUUUUAUUAAAAACUAGAUCUCUCUUCAGUGCCAAUUUCAGAGACUCAGUGGCAGAUUUACUGAACACUGAGCGUUAACCAAACACCUGGGCUUACUCUCAAUGCAACAACUGCAAUGAACAGAGUGCAAAGGAACAAGCUGAGAUACAGGGAUGGGGCAGAUGGCCACAAACAGGUGCUGUACUUGCUCCCUGGACUCAGUAUCAGCACUUGCACAUAGCCCACUUUUGCUCACUGCUGGUGUUCUAACCAGAUUCCUGGCAAUACUGAGUAUCUUACUAAAGAAGCUUUCUUUCCACUACCUUCAUGCUCCAAAACUGUACAAAAUGGUUGCUUAAACUAGACCAAACGAAUCAGGCACAUUGCACAUUAUAGUUCUUAAAUGGAUGAGCCUUCUUAGCAGCUCAUUCUUUCAGCUCAAAGCCAGCUGCCUCUCUACACCACAGAGUGAUGCUGCACAGACCCUGGAUGCAGGAUGGCACUGCCCAGUAUGCCAUUGCUCCAGGGAGCC